CCUACGGGUGGCUGCAGUGAGGAAUAUUGGUCAAUGGCCGGAAGGCUGAACCAGCCAUGCCGCGUGAAGGUCAGUGCCCUAUGGGCGUUAAACUUCUUUUGUGCGGGAGCAAUAAUGGUCACGUGUGGCCAGACGAGAGUACCGUACGAAUAAGCAUCGGCUAACUCCGUGCCAGCAGCCGCGGUAAUACGGGGGAUGCAAGCGUUAUCCGGAUUUAUUGGGUUUAAAGGGUGCGUAGGCUGUGAGGUAAGUCAGCGGUAAAAUCGAGAGGCUCAACCUCUUUCCGCCGUUGAAACUGUCGGUCUUGAGUGGGCGAGAAGUAUGCGGAAUGCGUGGUGUAGCGGUGAAAUGCAUAGAUAUCACGCAGAACUCCGAUUGCGAAGGCAGCAUACCGGCGCCCGACUGACGCUGAGGCACGAAAGCGUGGGUAUCGAACAGGAUUAGAUACCCGGGUAGUC
rnacentral:rRNA from 1 species